UUUCUCACCUGUCCUAACAACCACAACCACCUUUCUGGCCUUAGAAAGAGGCAACAGGGAGUGUGCGUUUUGUAGAGUACAGUUUCAAACUUGAUACUGGCAUAAAAAUAAACAAAAUAGCCCAAAAGUCCUUGUCAAAUAUUCAUGUAUAUAUAGGAACUGAUAACAGAACGAAGGUUGUUUUCCAAAGAAAUGAGGGAUGGCUCACAGGUUCAUUGAGUAUUGUUGAGGAAAUAGGCUAUCCACUUUGCAAAUGCUCAGAUUAUUCCUACCACACAAUAUACAGAAUCUAGUUGCUGUAUAAGGAAGAAGAGGGUGACUCUGGGCAGACACCUGUGUUUCAAUCCCAGUUUUGCUCUAUGCACCUCUAUGGCCUAGAGAAAGUUACCCUACCUCUCUAGGUAUAUGCUGU
rnacentral:lncRNA from 1 species